rnacentral:rRNA from 1 species
GACGAACGCUGGCGGCGUGCUUAACACAUGCAAGUCGAGCGGAAAGGCCCUUCGGGGUACUCGAGCGGCGAACGGGUGAGUAACACGUGGGCAACCUGCCCUCAGCUCUGGGAUAACUCCGGGAAACCGGGGCUAAUACCGGAUACGACCUUCACCGGCAUCGGUGGUGGUGGAAAGUUCUUCGGCUGAGGAUGGGCCCGCGGCCUAUCAGCUUGUUGGUGGGGUGAUGGCCUACCAAGGCGACGAUCUGUAGCGGGUCUGAGAGGAUGAUCCGCCACACUGGGACUGAGACACGGCCCAGACUCCUACGGGAGGCAGCAGUGGGGAAUAUUGGACAAUGGGGGCAACCCUGAUCCAGCCAUGCCGCGUGUGUGAAGAAGGCCUUAUGGUUGUAAAGCACUUUAAGCGAGGAGGAGGCUCCUAUAGAUAAUACCUAUAGUGAGUGGACGUUACUCGCAG